rnacentral:rRNA from 1 species
AUUGAACGCUGGCGGCAUGCCUUACACAUGCAAGUCGAACGGCAGCACGGGUGCUUGUUCCUGGUGGGGGGUGGCGGACGGGGGCGGAAUACAUAGGCACAUGUCCUGACGUGGGGGAGAGCCCGGCGAAAGGCGGAUUUACACCGCAAACGCUCUACGGCUGAAAGCGGGGGACCUUCGGGUCUCGCCCUUGCGCGUUUGACGAUGGCUGAUUAGGUUGUGGGAGGGGUAAAGGCCUACCACGGCGAAGGUCACGAGCUGGUCGGAGAGGACGACCAGCCAACCUGGAACUGAGACACGGCCCAGACUCCUACGGGAGGCAGCAGGGGGGAAUUUUGGACAAUGGGCGAAAGCCUGUUCAAGCAAUGCCGGGGGGGUGAAGAAGGCCUUCGGGUUGUAAAGCACUUUUGUCCGGAAAGAAAUCCGUGGCCCUAAUACGGGCGGGGGAUGACGGUACCGGAAGAAUAGACACCGGCUAACUACGG